GAAGAUGUUUACCUCUAAAGGUGACACUGACUAUCUGGGGAAACCUGACAUACAUGAAUGCUGUCAAACACAUUAAAUAAACAGAAUAAGAGAUCAAAUACUUUAACCUCUACUACCUUACAGCUACAGUAAAUUUAUGUAUGCCUUGAAAC